rnacentral:lncRNA from 1 species
UUGAGGAAGAGAAGCACUGAAAAAAUCGAGGCUUAGCAAGACCAGGCACAAUUGGGCUUUUAGUCUUUGCUCUGUUCUCGUUACACAACAAUGAGCAAAGAGGGGCAGCUGUAGCAGGCCCAAUUAGCCCGGGCCCGCACAAAUAAAAUAUUGGGCACAGCCCAUAUUUUUACAAACCUAAUAAACUAAACCUAAGCCCAAUACAAACCCUAACUCAAAACUAAAAAAUAAAAAAGAAAACCCUAGCAGCAGGUAGCGCCGCAGCCCCCGCCUCCAGCAAAGCCUCCAGCCACUACACGUUUCGGGACCAGCUCCUCCACGCACACGUUUCUCU